AGCAUAUGUAUUUAUUCUCAUAACUUUUAAACAUUCACACUACAAACACCAACUUCAGAAAUUAAAGCCCUUUUGCUUGAAGCAACAACAUGAGUUUAAUUAUUAGGCUUCACUUGGGGCUCUCCAUCAACAGCCUCAUCAGCAGAGCUGCAGCACCUGAUGCAACGGCCACGGACGCAUCCACAACAACCUCGGGCGCAACCGUGGAGGCAUUCGGCAAGGUUUCGAGCAUGGCCUCCUCCAAUUACGUGGCGCUCAACAUCAUCAACUUCUCCAUUUUCCAUCAUAGCUUCAUUGAAUUUCACAUCCCUUGCCGUAACCGUUACCUCCUCCGAGGAAAAGAGGACGACAAUGGCGAAAAGAAGACCAAGGAAGAUGAAAGCUCUGGAACUCAUUUUCUUUGUAGAUGAGAAGUAUAAACUAUCUG
rnacentral:misc_RNA from 1 species